CCACCCCCAACUCAAAGGGGUAUAAAUAAGUGUCUGCUUCCACCUUGGGCUACACUUUGCAGGCUGCAGAGAAGAUCGCAAGAUGAAAACUCUGCUGCUGACCUUGGUGGUGGUGACAAUCGUGUGCCUGGACUUAGGAUACACCAUGACAUGUUACAACCAACAGUCAUCGGAAGCUAAAACCACUACAACUUGUUCAGGUGGAGUGAGCUCUUGCUAUAAAAAGACUUGGAAUGAUGGCCAUGGAACUAGAAUUGAAAGGGGAUGUGGUUGCCCUAGCGUGAAGCGAGGUAUUGAACGUAUAUGUUGCGAAACAGACAAAUGCAACCAUUAGCUCUACGAGUGGCUAAAUUCCUUGAGUUUUGCUCUCAUCCAUCAAGGACCAUCCUUGAAAAUUUAUGCUUCUGGCCUUUACCACCAGAUGGUCCAUCAUCCCCCUCUCCCUUGCUAUCUUUGACACCUCAACAUCUUUCCCUUUUCUCUCGUUCUGUAAGUUUCCUUCUGCUAGUUCUGUAGUUUGAGAAUCAAAUAAACCUCAGCAUUCAAUUCAAGUGUUUUGAUUUUUUAAUUUCCCCCCCUCAAAACAUCCCUUUCAUGAAACCCACAGGUAGAGAGUCUUUCUCCAGGUUUCAGCAGGCAGUGAUGCUGGGAUGAGCAGGAUUAGGUCCAAUCGCUGUUGAAUCAUGGCUUGGAUUGCCUAACGGGUAAUAAUCUACCAUUCAGAGAGGGUAAAGAAAGAGGAGAAACCCACAACUGAGUCUUUCCUCAGUAAAACCUCAAACUUCAAAGCCUCCCUUUCUUCUCUCUGGGCAAAGCUGAGGGGAAGAGGGAGAAUCAGUGAAGUGGGGGAUAUAAUGGAAUUUUAGUUGGUGCACAGAUCAUACAAUUCUUUGUGUCUCAUCCUCAUUUUGAGAACAACAGUAUCUUUCAAAGA